rnacentral:rRNA from 1 species
GCGCACCAGGCGAGAAUACUUUGCAAUGUGCGAAAGCACGAUAAGGGAACUCUGAGUGCCUCCUAAGGAGGCUGUUCUGAUGUCUAAAAAGCAACAGAAGUAAGGGCUGGGUAAGACCGGUGCCAGCCGCCGCGGUAACACCGGCAGCCCAAGUGGUAGCCACGUUUAUUGGGUCUAAAGCGUUCGUAGCCGGCCAGGUAAGUUCCUUGGUAAAUUUAGCCGCUUAACGGUUAAGCUUUCAGGGAAUACUGCUUGGCUUGGGACUGGGAGGGGUCAGAGGUACUCCGGGGGUAGGGGUGAAAUCUAUUAAUCCCUGGGGGACCACCGGUAGCGAAGGCGUCUGACCAGACCAGGUCCGACGGUGAGGGACGAAGGCUAGGGGCGCGAACCGGAUUAGAUACCCGCGUAGU